UGGGGGAUAUUGCACAAUGGGGGGAACCCUGAACGAGCAAUGCCGCGUGUGUGAAGAAGGUCUUCGGACCGUAAAGCACUGUUGUAAGUGAAGAAUGCCAUAUAGAGGAAAUGCUAUGUGGGUGACGGUAGCUUACCAGAAAGCCACGGCUAACUACGUGCCAGCAGCCGCGGUAAUACGUAGGUGGCAAGCGUUAUCCGGAAUCAUUGGGCGUAAAGGGUGCGUAGGUGGGACGAUAAGUCUGAAGUAAAAGGCAACAGCUCAACUGUUGUAUGCUUUGGAAACUGUCGAGCUAGAGUGCAGAAGAGGGCGAUGGAAUUCCAUGUGUAGCGGUAAAAUGCGUAGAUAUAUGGAGGAACACCAGUGGCGAAGGCGGUCGCCUGGUCUGUAACUGACACUGAUGCACGAAAGCGUGGGGAGCAAAUAGGAUUAGAUACC
rnacentral:rRNA from 1 species